rnacentral:rRNA from 1 species
GACGAACGCUGGCGGCGUGCUUAACACAUGCAAGUCGAACGGAAAGGCCCUGCUUUUGUGGGGUGCUCGAGUGGCGAACGGGUGAGUAACACGUGAGUAACCUGCCCUUGACUUUGGGAGAACUUCAGGAAACUGGGGCUAAUACCGGAUAGGAGCUCCUGCUUCAUGGUGGGGGUUGGAAAGUUUCGGCGGUUGGGGAUGGACUCGCGGCUUAUCAGCUUGUUGGUGGGGUAGUGGAUUAGCAAGGCUUUGACCGGUAGCCGGGCUGCGAGGGUGACCGGAUACAUUGGGACUGGGCUGCGGCACAGACUAGUACCGGACGGAGGGGUGCAGAAUGUUGUAUUAUGGGAGGAACGAUGAUGUAGCCCAGCAGCGUGGGGGGUGAGGGCAAGCGGGUUGUAAACCGAUUUUGCCUGAGACGAGGCGUGAGUGACAGUAAUGGGUGAAGAAGCACCGGCUAACUACGUG